GAUGAAGAACGUAGCGAAAUGCGAUACUUGGUGUGAAUUGCAGAAUCCCGUGAACCAUCGAGUCUUUGAACGCAAGUUGCGCCCGAAGCCAUCAGGUUGAGGGCACGUCUGCCUGGGCGUCACAUAUCGUUGCCCAAUGCCUAUUGCAGUGCAAUAGGAAUUUCUAGGGCGAAUGAUGGCUUCCCGUGAGCGUUGUUGCCUCGCGGUUGGUUGAAAAUCGAGUCCUUGGUAGAGUGUGCCAUGGUAGAUGGUGGUCGAGUUAGAACGAUACCGAUCAUGUGCAUGCUCCCCAAAAUAUGGCCUCUAUGACCCACACGCGUCUUUUGACGCUCAUGACGAGACCUCAGGUCAGGCGGGGCUACCCGCUGAAUUUAAGCAUAUCAAUAAGCGGAGGA
rnacentral:misc_RNA from 1 species